GGAAUGGAAUAUCUUGGUCCCAGAGUGUGUGCUUCUCAGACAAGGCCCAGCUGUUUUCCAAGAUGACUGUACACUGAUACUCCCACAAGGAGGUGGUUCAUGAAGUUUUCCCUCCCUGUCUUCACUGAUUCUAUCAUCGGACCCGAAAACUUUUGCUGGCUGGCGAGUGUUGAUGCUGUGUCGCUGUGAAUUUACUUCCUGUUUCCCUGAUCCUGGUGAGGCUGGUGGUCUUUUCUUACGUUUGUUUCUUGGCCACUUAAAUUUCCCGUCUUGAGAAAUGCCUUGACCGGUUGCCCAUCUUUUUCUGUCGGGGUGUCUGUCUUUCAUAUUCCCUCUUCUGAAUGCCACUGAUCCUUAGGCCAGGGUGCUGUAAGUUAACUUCGGCUUCGUCAUUCUGCUCUCCUGCUUAUGCUACAGUGACUGUUGAUGAACAGUUCUUAAAUGUAACCCAAUUCCUCCUUCUAAAUUUCCCAAAUGCACUUUGUCUAAAGAUGCCUGUAUUUGUGUAACUCUUGGAGGAUGUUUUCAUUGGGCGUGGAAGUCUCUCUAAGUUGGCGGUUGUUUUCCUCCUGCGUAUUGAAGUUAUUGUCCACCAUGUUCUGCCUCAUUUCGCAAGUUCAGCUGUUGCUCAUUUUAAAAUAAGCUGUCCGAUGUUUUCUGACUGCUUUCAAGGUAUUUAUCUUUAUCUCUGGUCUUCUGAAGUUUUACUAUAAAAUGUCUUGAUGGGGAUGUCUUUUUUGUCAUUGUCAGGUUUGGAAUCUCUGCUGGGCUUCUGGAAUUCUCGGAGCCUUUAUCUGUAAACUCCUCUUCUGUCUCGUUUUCUCUCUCCUGGUUCUCUUGGAACUCCAGUUAAAUAUGUGAUAAAUCCUCACCACAACCACUGUUUUCUCUCUCUUUGUCUCUUGAUGUUGUAUUCUAGGUAGUGUCUUUUGGCCCGUCUUCCAGUUUAGUAAUUUUCUUGGUUACUGUUAAAUCUGGUCCACUGAGAUCUUUUUCUUUUUCUUUUUUUUUUUUUUGUCUUUUUGCCAUUUCUUGGGCCGCUCCCGCAGCACAUGGAGGUUCCCAGGCUAGGGGUCCAAUUGGAGCUGUAGCCGUCAGCCUGCUUCAGAGCCACAGCAACGCGGGAUCCGAGCUGCGUCUGCAACCUACACCACAGCUCACGGCAACGCCGGAUCGUUAACCCACUGAGCAAGGGCAGGGACAGAACCCGCAAGCUCAUGGUUCCUAGUCGGAUUCGUUAACCACUGCGCCACAAUGGGAACUCCCACUGGGAUCUUAAUUUGGGUUACGAUAUUUUCCAGAUCUAGGAUUUCUGUUUGUUCUUUUCAGGUAUGCUUUUUAUUGUUUCUAGUAUCCUGCUUGAUUGUUAUUUCUUUGAAUAUGGUCUACAUAAUUUUAUAUUCUGCCUCUGAUCAUUUCAGAAUUUAAAAUAAUUGUGGAUCUGAGUUUAUUGACAGUUGCUUUUUCUGUUUCUUCGUCAUGGUGUCUUGUUUUCUUGUGUGCCUGUAUGUUUCACAAUAAUGCUGAGCAUUGUAUUUGGAAAGUAUUAUAGGACUGUGUUGAGGCCUAGGAUGGGAUCUUCCCCCAUAGGGUUUUCACUUACUUCUGUCCGAUGCCUCGGGGGCACUGCCAGUGUAGAACACCUUAAUCCAAGUUCAAGAUUUGCAUUUCCUGGACUAUUCAGGCGACCCAAAGUCAGAUUAUAAGAGCUGUGUUACAGUUCCCAUGUAGCGCCGUGGGUUAAGGGUCCAGUGGUGUCACUGCAGUGGCCCAGGGGUGCAGGUUUGAACUGCACAUAGCAGUAGUUUCCAUAUAACUGCGGGCACAACCAAAGAAAGGAGCUAUAGCGUGGGAAGGCUCCUGUCCCUCUGGUUUGCCUUUUCCCCUGUGAAUGGAGUUUUAUUCUCCUAGCCCAAGUAGGCCAUCGCAUGUGUGACUUAGUUUCGUAACUAUUUCUUCCAGGUAGGGUGUGUCCUCAGGGCAAAAAUAAAAGGUUCCAUUUAUCGGGUGGCCCUCCUGAGUUUCUUGUCUUCUCUUAGACUUUGACUUGGUAAUUCUUUACUAUCUCUGUCACUUCUUUGAUGUUUAUAUGAUAUUUUUGUUUUUAUUAAUCCAGCUUUUUUAGCUGACACAAGGGAGAAUUUAUCCAGCUCGUUUAGUCUACCCUUAUCGAGAUCAGAGGUCCUUAUGUAAAUUUCUGAGAGCAGGGAUUUUGUUUUGUUCACCUUGUUUUCCUAGAAGAGUUGUGGGAUACAGCAUCAAGUCAGUAUUCACUGAAUGGCUCAGUGAAUAAGCUAGUAUUUUAAAGGAAAUUUAACUUCCUUAUGGGGUGCAGUCCCCUUUUUGUUCUUAAAAAUAAAAUUUGGCAGUUCUUAAGCAUUUUUCUCUUCCAUAUGUAUUUUAGAAUUAGUUUGCCAAAGUCCAUAUGAACCCUGAGAUUUGACUUAGAAUUGCACUGAAUUUAGAAAGUAAUUUUUGGAGUUGUUUCCACUGUGCCACGAUGGGAGCUCCUUGUUCAAGAAGUUUUAGUCUCCUGCAGAUGGUGUGUGUAAAUGUUUCAUAUCUGGCUUUCCAUGCAGGGCGUGUGUGUGUGUGUGUGUGUGUGUGUGUGUGUUGCCAGAGGCACGGGUACUUAAUUUGUAGCCUUUGCCCAUUUCCAUGAUCUUCAUGCCCACAGAGUGACCAGUUGCCAGCCACCAAGUUGGGCGGAGAUGCACCCAGUCAUCUGUCGUUGUUCCAUCACACCCGUGCCGAAGUUCAGAAGCAUCAGUCUGUGUCAUUUAAUGACAGUCACCACUGUCAUUACAAGUGGAACUUCUCCCUCCCACCAUGUGACAACUGCUUUAGAAGCAGACCUAACACGUGGCUUCUCCUCCAUCUGCGAGCUCUGACUUUUAAAUCCUAAAGACUUUGUUAUUUAACAGAAGAGUCGCCCACGAUACCGCUCUCUGUAGUAAAGAUCACCCAGUCCCUUGUAUGUCCUGGUUGCUCUCAGCAGAAGAUGAAAUGGUUACGGGUCAACAGAACUCACUUGUAGGAGUGGAAGCACAACCUUCAGCGUAGAAAGUUGUUUGGAGGCGUGUUUUGUCUUGGACUUUAGUAUUGGAGCUGUUCCAAAAACUGAAAACAUGCCAAGAAACACUCCUUACCGUUAGAUAAAAGCCUGGUGGAAACGAAGGUCUCAUGGCAGUUCCAGAAUGUCUCCACUUGCCUAUUUGUGGCGAUAGUAGAACUCUAGUAUAUUCACAAGUCAGCUCCCGGCCCACCUCCCGUCUGUAGCCCAGACCUGUGCGUGCCUUUUGAACCCCUGGGUAUACACGUUUCUCCUGUCUUCAGUCUCUGGGGAGAAGGUUGUUUGUAAAGCAAAAGGGCAUUCCGUUCUCGAUGCCAAAAUGCCCAAGUGGCUUGGUUCCUGCCCAUAGAACCAAUGCCAUGGGCGAGGCUUGGAAAAACCAGUUCCUUUCGCAUUAACUGAGGACCGCCUGCUCUCUGUCCCUCCCCUGAACCUCAGGGAAGAAAGCAGACGGAUCCCUCGUCAUUCCAGUCAUGACACGGCUAAUUUUUGUUCUGAGUCGCGGGUAACGUUCGUUCACAGGAACAGUGUCACUCCUGGUGGAUGCGCUGCCCUCUGCACGGUACCAAAUAACACUGGCGAUGGAAACGUCGUCGUCCGCUCUCAGCGCCUCUGCCAGUGAGUCGUGUGUGUUUACUCAGUAAGUAGGUGAUGGGCUUUCUGCGAUGAGGCAUCAUGGAUGGAGUCUGUCCACAUGAAUUAAGAUGAAGCCAGUAUCAUCUGACUGUAGCUGGUUAGGGGUUGGAGAUGCUCACACAUGUUUAAACUGUAAGAAAUUUUUAGUUUCAUUUUAUCACUGGAAGAGAACUUAAGUUCAAAUAAGCCAUCACCAUGGUGCUAGUAAAAUUUUUUCUUGUUAAGUUUGGUUGGCUGGUUGGUUGGUUUUCCUUUUUGGCUAGUUUUAUUGGUUGGUUGGUUGGUUGGUUGGUUCUUGGCCGCACUCGCAGCCAUGUAGAAGUUCCCUGGCCAGUGAUCGAACCCACACCACGGUUGCAGCCUGUGCCACAGCUGCAGCAAUGCCAGAUCCUUAACCCGCUGUGCCACCCGGGAACUUGUCUUGGCUGGUUGGUUUAAUGUAUAUAAUAAUCCCAGUUGAUGAACACAUCUCUAAGUAAAUGAGUUUUAUAUACCACAUGCCUGAGGUCAUUCUCAAGACUUAUUUCUUCCCCGAGUUUUUCCCUGACAGUAGCAGUUAGUGACAGUGUGACCCAGUCGUCUUAAUUGCUAUAAGUUUGCACAGCUCUUCUGCAUCGCUCUUGGCUAAUGAAUUAGAUUCUUACGUGGCUGACAUAGCGUGUCCCUGACAAGGUGACAGUGUAGAAAAGGACAGGAAGGAGAGGGAAGAAUGAAGAGGGACGUAAACUUUUGUCAGCACGCUAAGACACACGAACGUAACAUCCCAGCCUUUGUCCCAGGAAAACGGGCCCAGUGAUGAGAACAUACAGAGCACCUCUGGGUCAUUUGCCCUAAUAUUAUGAUUUGUAAUCCUCGACUGUUAAAAAAAAAUCGAUGGCAGAAAGUGAGAUGUGAGUGACGUUCUGAAGCGUCACAGCAAAGAGGCUUUUUGUCAAUCUUACAGUCAGACCUCCAGCCCAGUCCACUGGGUGGUUCUAGAAAACAGCUAAGUUACCUUUGACACCUGGAGUUGUAAGCUUCACAUAUGGAUGAAAAUGUGUUGAAGAAAUCUUGUUGCUUCACUCUUGGGGCUCCCUGACUCCCAUCACGGUGUUACCCACAAACUUUGCAUUUGAAACACAGUGAAGCAGUGGCUCUCCUUGGUGGCAAGGGAUACGUUGACAGCUUAGCUGUUCCUCUGGGAGACCUGUCCCCUGCAGGUCCCUAGAGGAUAUGUUGUUAGCAAGUGAAAAGCUCUUCAAAGAAUCACAUAUCCACAGAAAUCUGCCCCAUGGAAUAGUGUCACAGCCCAGAACACCCUCACUGGAGUUUUUGGAAGACAGACCCCCCCAAAUUCCAGAAGGCGUGGUCAGGGCUGGGCGUCUGCAGGGUGUGCGGUGUAGGCUCAUGAUUUCCAAAGGCCGGGCGAGCCAAAGCCAAGACCCUGGCUCUGUUUCUCUCUCGUGGGUUAUGAAUGGAAGCCAGAGCAAGAGGCGUGGUUCGUGUGGAGAACCACCAGGUGGCAGUGUGGAGAACGAGAGAGCGUUUCUGUCUCCUGGGAGAGGGAUGCUGGUUUAAACUGUUCUCGUCUGUAAAGGACUUUCUUUAACCUGUAAGCUCAGUGAUCAGGAAGGAAAAGGCAAAACACCUGCUUACUUCCAAUGGCGGAUCUAGCCUUUUCAAGCUUGUAGUACUGUGAUUUGGUAAUGUUUCUGAAGCUACCUGAAACCCAUUUAUUUAUAAACUGUAUUUUCAGGAGAGAUUGAAAUAAUUGUUGAAUUAUACGGCAUGAGAAGGAGAAAGAGGCAGGGAGAUCUUAGUAAAAAUUAAAUAUUAAGUUGGAACGGGACCAGGGAGAGCAUCAGAAGAUAAGAAAGGUACAGUGGAUGUUUUAACCAAAUGCUAGCCUAACCCAUUCAUCAAAGGAAAGAACAUGAGUUCUUUUUUCUUAUUUUUUCUUUUUUUCUGCUAUUUUAGGGCCACACCCGCAGCAUAUGGAGGUUCCCAGGCUAGGGGUUGAAUUGGAGCUGUAGCCGCUGGCCUAUGCCACAGCCAUAGCAACCUACGUGUCUGCAGCCUACACCACAGCUCAGGGCAACUCCAAAUCCUUAACCCACUGAGCGAGGCCAGGGAUCAGUCCUGCAUCCUCAUGGAUCCUGGUCAGGUUGGUUAACCACUGCGCCAUGACGGGAACUCCAAGAACAUUAUGUCUUAAUCACAGUGUAACCAGAUGGAGCCAUAUGAAAUUGCUGAUAUUCAGCAUCGUUGACCUAGAAAUGAUCAUGGCAUGUGGUUCAGCUUAAAUAAAACUAGAAACUAUUGGAAACGGUAAAUUGUAAAAUAUGUAAAAGCACACUAAAUUAUUCCAUGAUCUAAUCAGGAUGGUAGAUAAACAAUAAUCCAAAAUAAAGUUCUUUAAAAACCCACUGUAGUCCCCUAACCCCUAACUUCAGAUACUUUUAAUUGAAAAUAUUUUCCAUGUGCCCAGGAUGAUUUGAGAAAACUGCAAGUGCAAGGAUUUUUUUUUUUUUUUUUUUGAGAGAAAAUGAAAAUAAGUCUAGGUAGGCAGGCAUUUUCCAUUAGCCCCAAAGAAAUAGGACACCAAGCAGUGUUUUCACUUUUAAGAACCUGGAGGAGGCUGGCUGUAGAAAAGCUGGAGUGGUCACGUGCAGGUGAGUAUUAGUCUUUCUGCACGGGUGGUACAAGACCUCCUCCCGGCCAUGAUGUGACCUUGACCUGAGGGGCCCUUCUCAGGUCCUCCGCCACGUGACAGCAAGGGAGUCCACGUGUGUCUACAGAAAAAAAACAGUAUUGGGCUUGGCUGCGCCAGCCUUGCCCUGACCCGCCUCUGGGCACGGGUGUAGGUGUGGGUUCUGUCUGAGCAGGGCCAUUAGCAUGUUUCUCCUGCCAUGUCUCAUCCCUGGUUUCUGGGUCAUUUGAGACCAGCUUUCUGUGUUUGUUAACAGAUCUUAAAGGCCAUAGAAAAUAAUGAAGAGUACUUUUUGGUUGUAAACGCAGAAGGAAAGUAGACUUAUUAGUAUUUGAAAGGAAUAUCAAAUUAAAAUAUACUAUUUUCUGUAUUUAUUAAAUUGAGAAUAAUCUCAUGAUAAAUGAAGAGGCAAAAUAGUACUUUGAUAACAUUUUUACGGGGUUAAAAGCAAAAAAAAAAAA
rnacentral:lncRNA from 1 species